rnacentral:tmRNA from 1 species
GGGGGUGUCAAGGUUUCGACUGUUGGAUACCGUUUGUCGGGUUGCAGGUGGAGCGUUAUCUCCUUAAACUGUCAAAAUUUUUAAGUGCCAAAAAAGAAGACGUUGUUGUCGUUUCUUUCGACAACACAGCACUUACACUCGCAGCUUAAUAUAAGUUAGCGACGGGCACCUUAGGCGCCGUUCUGAGCUUGAGACUGUCCGCCAGAAAUCAGGACUUUACCUUUUCUUCCGUCCGGGGAGGGAGAGGGACAAUUUUCCGGAAGUAGGAUUUUGCAGGGUUGUUUUCUCCUCUCGUAAAAUCCGAAUCACCAAGUAGAGACUAAACCUGUAGAGGCCUUGCUUGCGCCCAAUAGGACGCGGGUUCGAUUCCCGCCACCUCCAUUA